rnacentral:lncRNA from 1 species
CGCGGGAGGGAGGCCCUGAGCCCGAGUCCGUCGCCCGCCCUGAACACCAGGCACCCACCUAGCGUGUGCAGUGGGAGAAAGCGGCUGUGCACUAAGCCUCUGUGACCCCUUCAGGGGUCUACGUUGUAUACCCUAGAAUCGGAAGCACCUGAGCGUAUUGCCCCGCGUGUAACCUCGCAGCCUCUACUCCAUCAGAAUGCCCACCAAAUUACCGUGCGGACUAAGGGACGACGGAAUACAGCAGCACGGAAGACAGAGCCCAAGCCCGUCCCCGAGGUACCCGGGACGCGCGCCUUCCCACCCCUGUCCAGGGCAAGUCCAGCAACCGCACAGUCCUCCUGGGCUCCUCCCAUUCUCUCAUCUUCAUCUCUGAGCUGUCAAGAACGCUUGUUAGGCCGGGGGUUUAGCUCAGUGGUUCCUCCACCUACAUCGCAAGCGGAAGGUCCCGAGUUCGAUCCCCAGUACCAAAAAAAAAGAACGCUUGUUAGUUGUACCUUCAAAACAAAUUAGAAUUAGACUACUCACCUAUACUGUUCCUGGGGCUCUGCGGCCCACAAGCAACUCAAUUUAUUGUCAAGAAAACAGCCAGAAUCCUCUCUUACAGGGAAAGUUCACUCAUGUCCCAUCUGGGCAAAACCUACCAGUGGCUCCCUAAAGUCAUUCAUUGUAAAAGCCGAGCUCUUUACAGUGGCCUACAAAGUCCCUGAAUUUGCCUUUUCCUUUAGGAAUCAGGGUUAAUCUCUUAACUACUCAUUGUUGCUUGAACACCCGGAUAUACUACUGCUUAGGUUCUGGAACAUUCUUCCCUGAAUGUCCAUCUUCACGUCCUUCACUGACUGCAAACUGCGCCUUAACACUGACACUUGGUCUAAACCAGCUCCACGCCAAUUAGCGACCCUCCCUACCUUGUUCCUGCUCUCUGCUCCUCAUGACACGUCACACACUGCAGUGCGCUCGUUCCUGAGUGCCUGCCUUCCGCAGGAGUUGUGAUUUUUGUGUUCUGUUCAACUGAUACAUUCCAAGUGCCUAGAAAAAGUGAGAGAUGUAACACUCCCCUGAGAUAGCCGGGGAUUUCGCUCGGUGGUUCUGCCGCCUGCCUCACAAGUCCAGGGACCCCAGUUCGAUCCCCGGUACCAAAAAAUAAAUAAAACUUUCCUGAGAGAAUAAAAAGUGCAAAGCAACAAAAAAUGGCCAAUUUAUUUUAUUUUAAAUUUUCUCUUGGUUCCAAUAUCUACCAGCUAAUCAUAAGAAUCUGACCUACAUCAUAUAAACGUUUUGAUUUUCCAGUUACCCUAGAUUCAGUGAUAACCAUUUACAUGACCUUUUAUACAGUUUUUUGAUCAGUGAUGUCUUGAUAUCUUAUUUCACUGAAAACGAAUAAUAAGAUAGGGUAGAAAUUUAUUGAUUUGAUAUUCAAAGACAUAUUGUUUCUAAAAAUUUCCUAUGGCAGGGCUGGGGAUUUAGCUCAGUGGUUUCGCCGUCUGCUGUGCAAGCUCAAGGACCCGAGUUCAGUCCCCAGUACAAAAAAAUUUUCCUACGGCAAAAAGAAAGAAAAUUGCUGAACUUGAUAUAUGGGCUUGUAUUCCUCUCUUUGAAUUAUAAAUGUUCAAAUGUCUUAUUUAAUAAUAUCGCCUACCAUUUAUCCAUAAAUGGUAAAAUUCAUUAUAUGAACAAACUUUUAGUUUUUUGGGUUUAUAAAAAAACCCAUAAUCGGGCCAGGGAUGUAGCUCAGUGGUGCCACGCCUACCUGGCAACUACAAGGUCCUGAAUUAGAUCCCCGGUACCAGAAAAAAAACAACACAUAAGGUAUGAUUGAAUACCAAUGAUCUAAUUUCAGUUGCUAUACCUAUGCUACUACCCCUUUUUGUCAGUAAAAAGUCAAUUAACACAAUUCCAUUCAACCAUAUGAUACUAUUUGUAUGUAAUAGUAUUUGUAAUAAUUUGUAUGA